rnacentral:rRNA from 1 species
UACGUAGGGUGCGAGCGUUGUCCGGAAUUAUUGGGCGUAAAGAGCUUGUAGGCGGUUUGUCGCGUCUGCUGUGAAAAUCCGGGGCUCAACCUCGGGCCUGCAGUGGGUACGGGCAGACUAGAGUGCGGUAGGGGAGAUUGGAAUUCCUGGUGUAGCGGUGGAAUGCGCAGAUAUCAGGAGGAACACCAAUGGCGAAGGCAGAUCUCUGGGCCGUAACUGACGCUGAGGAGCGAAAGCAUGGGGAGCGAACAGG